ensembl:lncRNA
CAGCAAUGGGGACAGGGACAUGGAUGGGAGAGGACAGGUUGGGUUGGGGAUGUGGAUGAGGUGGGACAGGAAUGGGACAGCACGGGGACAGGGACAAUAAAGGGAUGGGACAAUAAAGGGAUGGGACAAUAAAGGGAUGGGGACAGAGAUCGAGUGAGGAUGUGGAUGGAAUAGGACAGGAGAGAGAUGGGGACAGGGACAUGGAUGGGAUGGGGACAAGGAUGGUAUGGGGACAUGGAUGGAGUGAGACAGGAUAGGGACAGGGACGUGGAAGGGAGGGGACAGGUUGGGUUGGGGACGUGGAUGAGGUGGGACAGGGAUGGGACAGCACGGGGACAGGGACAUGGACGGGAUGGGGACAUGGAUGGGAUGGGACAGUAAAGGGAUGGGGACAGAGGUGGAGCGAGGAUGUGGAUGGAAUAGGACAGGACAGGGAUGGGGACAGGGAUGGGGAUGUGGAUGGGGACACAGAGAGCAAGGAUGUGGAUGGAUUAGGAGAGGAUAAAGUUGGGGACAGGGACAUGGAUGGGGACAUGGGUAGAGUGGAACAGGAUAGGGACAGGGACGUGGAUGGGAGGGGACAGGUUGGGUUGGGGACGUGGAUGAGGUGGGACAGGGAUGGGACAGCACGGGGACAGGGACAUGGAUGGGAUGGGAUGGGACAGUAAAGGGAUGGGGACAGAGAUGGAGCGAGGAUGUGGAUGGAAUAGGACAGGAGAGGGAUGGGGACAGGGACAUGGAUGGGAUGGGGAUGUGGAUGGGAACAGAGAGCAAGGAUGUGGAUGGAAUAGGACAGGAUGGAGAUGGGGACAGGGACAUGGAUGGGAUGGGACAGGGAUAGAGAACAGGGAUGGGGACAUGGAUGGGACAGACACAGGGAAGGGGUGGGCACAGCGUGGGGAAAGGGACAGGAGGGGAGCUGGGGACAGGGACAGGGAUGGGAUGGGACAGGGAUGGGGAUGGGGGGGACAGGGACAGGGACAUGGAUGGGGUGGGACAGGAUGGGAAUGGGGGACAUGGGAUGGGAUGGGAUGGGACAUGGAUAGAGACAGGGAUGGGGACAUGGAUGGGACAGACACAGGGAAGGGAUGGACGCUGAAUGGGGAAAGGGACAGGACGGGAGCUGGGGACAGGGACAGGGAUGGGGACAGGGACGUGGAUGGCAUGGGACAGGAUGGGAAUGGGGGACAUGGGAUGGGAUGGGAUGGGACAUGGCUAGAGACAGGGAUGGGGACAUGGAUGGGACAGACACAAGGAAGGGGUGGACAGUGCGUGGGGAACGGGACAGGACGGGAGCUGGGGACAGGGACGUGGGAUGGGGCCGGGCGGGGGCUGUCCCCACGCGGGGGUGUCCCCGCGUCCCCCAACGCCGCCGUCCUCGCAGUGCCCGGUGCUGAAGGGACGCGUGCAGAAGAUCCUGUACUGGCGGUGGGGGGAGCCGCCCCCGCCCGUGGCCGUGCCUCCCCCCGAGGGCCCCCCCGAGGGCCCCCCCAAAGUGCUGCAGGGCCGCUCGGAGCGAGAGUUCUUCGUCAAAUGGGUGGGGCUGUCCUACUGGCACUGCUCCUGGAUCAAGGAGCUGCAGGUACCGGGGG